UAGCUGAGCAGGCUGAAGAUGCUGUUGUAGAGCUGCAUCUCCUUUUUCCGGCUCUGGUCCAUCUCGUCCAGGAUCUCCAUCAGCUCCUUGCCCGUCUUGGUGGGGUGGGUGCACUCGGCCUCGUGCACCGUCAGCUCGUGGAAGGGGCCCUGCCAAGGGCAGCCGAUGCGCUUGUAUUUGCACUGGGUCACCCUGGGGGGGGGAAAAAGGGGGGGUUUCAGGGUCAGGAAGGGGAGAAAAGUGACCCCAAAGAGACCCCAAGUGGGCGUAAGUCGUGGUUAUGGUGGUUCUGAAGGGAAGGGGUUGGGGUCUGUGGAGCUCAUGGGGACAAAAGUGACACAAAAGUGACCCCAAAGUGUCACCAAAAGGGGACAGGUCUUGGGAAGGGUGGUCAUAAAGGGAUGAGACUGGGGUCUGUUGACCCCAUGGGAACAGAAGUGACACAAAAGUGUCCCUAAAGUGUCCCCAAAUGGGCACAAGUCUUGGGAAGGGUGGAUAUAAAGGGAUGAGAUUGGGGUCUGUUGACCCCAUGGGGACAAAAGCGACACAGAAGUGACCCCAAGUGCCACCCUGAGAGCACCACGACCCCACAGCGUGACCCCAUAGUGACACCACAACAACGGGACCACGCUGGGAUCCCACAGCGUCACCCCAUCCCAUGGUUCCACCACAGCCCCACCACACUGUGACCCCACCACAACACCGUGACCCCACACCAUGACCCCACAACCCCACAACACCGCGACCCUUUGAUCCCACAACACUGUGACCCCACACCACGAUUCCACCACGACCCAACACUGGGACUCCACAACACUGGAACCCUACAGCCCUACCCCAACACUGUGACCCCACAACACCGUGACCCCACAACACCGUGACCCCACAACACCGUGACCCCACAGCCCUACCCCAACACCGCAACCCCACAACACCGCGACCCCACAACACUGGAACCCUACAGCCCUGCCCCAACACCGCAACCCCACAACACCGCGACCCUUUGAUCCCACAACACUGUGACCCCACACCACAAUUCCACCACGACCCAACACUGGGACUCCACAACACAGGAACCCUACAGCCCUACCCCAACACCAUGACCCCA
rnacentral:lncRNA from 1 species